AAGCAGUUAGGAUAUUUUCAAAGCCUAAGUCUACUGGAGGAUGCUAAUAUUUAAAGAGAAAAGAGACCUGAUUGCUCAGUCACCUCUCCUACUGCCCCACACUUAGCAUAAAAUGAAUAAGGUUAAGCUCAACUUUAGAGAAGAGAGAAGAAAAUGUGGGCAAAAAUAACUUGUUAAUUUGAAAUAUCCAAGUUCUUAUAAGAAAAGGAAACCAGCCUCUAAAUCAUGGGGCUUCUGACUCAGCUCCUCACUUGUGUGCCUAACACCAGCUAGUGCUUCACCUAGAUACUUAGUAUAAGACUUCAAAAUAGUCACCGUCAUGGUUUACAUUUCUCCAGAAGUUGACCCCAAGCACUUUGAAUAUAUUGGACCACUCUUUUCUGGUCUGCAAAAUUUUUGCUGGAAAAAUCUGCUGUAGUCUUAUGGGAGGUCCUUCGGGCCCUUGUGAACGUGUAAAACAGAAAUUUAAAAUAAACCCAGAGGUUGGACAUGACUUUUGAUGAUAUGGGUGAAGUUGUUUAUUUAAUUCAAGAUGUGAGGACUGAGACAAAUAUUCGAGCUAUGCACGUUAUGAAAAUUUCACUGGAAAAGCACUGUAUCACUAUUUGUUGUGGAGGACAAUCAGUCUCACUCAACAUGAUGUAGUUAUUAAUGUACCAAAAAAUAUCAUCAU